UCUAUUUUCAUUGUUUAACUGGUAAACAACAUCACUUCAUUGUCUAAUUUCUAUGCUUUAUUGUAGACACCGUCUUCAUUGAGUUGAAUUGAGUUCAGGAUAAACAACAGAGGAAAAGUACAACAAAAUGAUGACUUCAGCUCCUGAUAAACCAGAUUGUGGGCCGAUGGUGGUUACUUUUGGAUUCUUGACGUUGGUCAUUGGAAUCGCUGUUGGAGUGAAACUGAAGGAGGCCACAGACCAGUUCAUUCAACAACAUAAAUGGAAGAUCAUUGUCUUUGUCACUGUUUUUAUUGUUGUUUGUAUCAUGGUGCUUCUGAUCUUGAAUAAACAGGAAGUAUAGAGGGAUAUUAAGGAAUGACCCAAACAAUUAGCAAACACUUCUCAGUCAGUCACACACAACUCCCUCUGGAAAAUAACAUCUGCUAAAUGACUGAACUGUAAGCAACAUUUGGAAAAAAGUGACUCAUAGUAGGCUAGAUGUAUUUGUCUAAGAUUGUAUUUGUCAUCCUAUUUUAAUGUGACCAAGAUCCCUUUCCAUCUCUGGCCAUCUCUGUGUGUGCUCGUACUUUGUCAAUGUUUGUGAUUUAUAGUUGUAAGUGUCUUUAUAGAUCAGUGGAACAUCGACUUAAUAUUAUGUUUUUGUAACCAAUUGCCUGUGUCUCUUCAACUCAUGUGUUUUUUUAACCAAUUGCCUGUGUCUCUUCAACUCAUGUGUUUUUGUAACCAAUUGCCUGUGUCUCUUCAACUCAUGUGUUUUUGUAACCAAUUGCCUGUGUCUCUUCAACUCAUGUGUUUUUGUAACCAAUUGCCUGUGUCUCUUCAACUCAUGUGUUUUUGUAACCAAUUGCCUGUGUCUCUUCAACUCAUGUGUUUUUGUAACCAAUUGCCUGUGUCUCUUCAACUCAUGUGUUUUUGCUCAUCAACCUGUCAGUAUGUUCUGGGCUGAUUAAACCAAAUAGUAAAAUCACA